rnacentral:lncRNA from 1 species
GAGCAUUGGACCUCAAGCUCCUGCACUGCCCGUCCUGGUCCAUAAGACGGUCUGGGCGCGUCGUCCUAGUGCAUCGGAAUAACUGGCGAGGUGGGAUGGGACGGCCCGGAGCACACCACGGUGCAAUGUGUGGCAUGGAUGGUGGGCACCGAGGUACGCAUCUACGUACGGUGUCGAGAGCGCCGGGGGCAUUACGCACACGUCUUGGGUAGGGGGCAACCAGGUGCGCGUCAAGGCACUACGCAUCACCACACGCACGAUUGAAAGCAGCGGGGCUCGAGGGCCGGUGAGAUGCCCGAGUAAAGCACACCAACGCACCAUGGAUCGAGGGCGCUUGGGCACACGGUGUCACGAGAGCCCACUGGUAGGCGAGAAAGGCAGACUCAAGCAGUAUGCCAGGUGAGCAUCUAUCUGGUAAACUAGACACAGCGCCAGAAGUGCCUACAAGCUGAACGAGCUGGAAGCACCCACGCAGUAAGGGUAGGCACACCCACACUGAAAGGGUUGAUGGCAGAGUGGUGAGCACAGCGGUGUGCGCCUAAGCACAGCGCAUGGAGUGUCCACGAGUCAUCCAAGGAAAAGCACACCCAAGCAGUAUGAGCCUGGAGGGAAACGAGUAGCGCGCCUAGGCACCGCGCUGUGAGUGCCUACGGGUUGAACGAGCUGGGCACAACCACGUGGCAUGGGUGGCGAGCACCGAGGUGUGUGACUAGGCAGCACACAUCGAUGGUCUACGGGUCAGCCAAAGCAGGCCACACCAACGCGUUGGCAGCACGCCUUGCCCAAAUCACGUACCUCAGCCUCGUCCCAACCUUGUGCCCAACCUUCCCAAUUAUGUUUCAUGGCUUAAAACACCUGACAUUCCUGAGUCACACUUGUUGGGGGUCAAACUAGCAUACAUUUGGCCUCAUCACGACCCAUACCACCUAAGUACACAAUGUUGCAUCCUUGGGUGCCUCACCACCACACGAAAGGUUGAAGGCACGGAGCCUCGAAGGCUGGUGGGAUGAACGAGCAAUGCAAACCCACGCAGCAUACGUUGAGGGCUCCAUGGUGUGCAUCUAGGCACACGGUGCCACGAUGGCCUACGCCUAGCCCGAGAAAGGCAAACCCGCACAGUUUGACUGGUGGACACCGAGGUGUGCACCUAGGUACACGGCAUCGUGAAGCCCUGCAGGUCGUCGAGAUAGGGACACCCAAAAUGUAUGCCUGGUGUGCUCGAAGGUGGGUGCCUAGGCACAACGAAACAAGGGCCUCCAAGUUGCCCGAGCUGGGAACACCCGCGCGGUAUGGGUGGUGAGCACUAAGCUGUGCGCCUAGGCACAUUGCAUCAACAGUCCACAAGUCAGCCGAGGUGAGGCACACCCAUGCAGCAUGCGUGGUGAGCACUAAGUUAUGGGCCUUGGCACAAUGCAUCGACGGACCACAAGUCAGCCGAGGUAAGGCACACCAUUGGAGUACGGGUUGAGAGCUCCGCGGUGUGCGCUUAUGACCACGGCGCCGCGGAGGCGUGAAGGUUGCCCCAUCAAGGCACACCCAUGCAGUUUGCAAGGUGGGCACCGAGGUAUGCGCCUAGGCAAACGGGGUCGCGAAGGAGAACGGGCUGACAGGCUAGGCACACCCACACUGUAUGCCAGGUGGGCACCGAGGUGUGUUCCUAGGCCCACGGUGGGAUGAAGGCCAACGGGUUGCCUGAGCUAGGAACACCCGCCAGGAACGCCAGGUGGGCACCGAGGUGUGCGUCUUGGAACAGCGCAUCUAGGGUCCACAGGUCAGCCCGAGCAAGGCAACCCCACGCAGUAUGGGUUGAGAGCUUCGUUGUGUGCGCCUAGGCACACGGCGACGUGAUGGCUUGCGGGUUGCCCGAGCAAGGCAAAACCAUGCAGUUUGCCUGGUGGCUAGCGAGGUGUGCUCCUCGGCACGUGGCGUGAAGCUGUGCGACUUGACUGAGCGCAUUGAGGGUCCACGGGUAAGCCAGAGAAGGCAACACCCACGCUUUGGCAGCAUGCCUAGCACAAAUAACAUACCUUUGCCUCGUCCCAACCUGUUGCCCACCCUUCUCAAUUAUGUUUCAUGGCUUAAAACGCCUGACAUUCCUGAGUGAAACCUGUUGGGGGUUAAACUAGCAUACAUUUGGCCUCCUCACGACCCAUACCACCUCAGUGCACAUUGUUGCAUCCUAGGGUGCAUCACCACCAAACGCAAGGUUGAAGGUAAGGAACCUCGAGGGACGGUGGGAUGAACGAGCUAGGAAAACCCACGCAGCAUGGGUUGUGGGCUCCAUGGUGUGCAUCAAGGCACACGGUGCCACGAUGGCCAACGCGUAGCCCGAGCAAGGCACACCUGCACAGUUUGCUUGGUGGGCAACGAGGUGUGCACCUAGGUACACGGCAUCGCGAGGGCUUACUGGUCGCCGAGCUAGGGACAUCCAAGCUGCAUGCCUAGUGUGCAACAAGGUGUGUGCCUUGGCACAAUGCAACAACGGCCUUCGGCUUGCCCGAGGUGCGAACACUCGCAUGGUAUGGGUGGUGAGUACUAAGCUGUGCGCCUAGGCACAAUGCAUAGACGGUCCACAAGUUAGCUGAGGAGGCACACCCAUGCAGUAUGCGUGGUGAGCACUAAGCUGUGUGCCUCGGCACAAUGCAUCGAGGGACCACAAGUCAGCCGGGGUAAGGCAGACCAUUGCAGUAUGGGUUUGGAGCUCCGCGGUGUGUGCCAAGGCACACGGCGCCGCGGAGGCAUACGGGUUGCCCCAUCAAGGCACACCCAGGCAUUUUGCAAGGUGGCGACCGAGGUGUGCGCCUAGGCAAACGGCGUCACGAAGGCACACCCAAGCAGUAUGCGCUUAGGGGAAAACGAGUAGCGCGCCUAGGCACCGCGCGCUGAGUGUCUACGGGUUGCACGAGCUGGACACAACAACUUGUUAUGGGUGGCGAGCAGCGAGGUGUGAGACUAGGUAGAGCACAUUGAUGGCCUACAGGUCAGCCAAAGCAGGCCACACCGACGCAUUGGCAGCACGCCUUGCCCAAAUCACGUACCUCACCCUCAUCCCCACCUGUUUCCCAACCUUCCCAUAUAUGUUUCAUGGCUUAAAACACGUAACAUUCUUGAGUAACACCUGUUGGGGGUCAAACUAGCAUACACCGACGCAGUUUUCAAGGUGGCCACCGAGGUGUGCAUCUAGGCAAACUGCGUCACUAAGGAGCACGGGCUGACCUGUUAGGCAAUCCCACGCAGUAUGCCUGGUGGGCACUGAGGUGAGUGCCUAGGCCCACGGUGGGAUGAAGGCCAACAGGUUGCCUGAGCUGGGAACACCCGCGAGGUAUGCCAGGUGGGCACUGAGGUGUGCGCCAAGGAACAGCGCAUCUAGGGUCCACAGGUCAGCCAGAGCAAGGCAACCCAACGCAGUAUGAGUUGAGGGCUUCAUCGUGUGCGCCUAGGCACACGACGACGUGAUGGCUUGCGGGUUGCUCGAGCAAGGCGCAACCACGCAGUUUGCCUGGUGGGCAGCUAGGUGUG